rnacentral:rRNA from 1 species
CGCGCCGUACGCGGCCGGUCCACCGAAAGGUGCGUACUGGCUCGCGGCGCGCUACCUUCCGGGCGGCGGCCGUGCCCUUCGCCGGGUGCGGCCGCGCGCGACCGGGACUUUUACCUUGAGAAAAUUAGAGUGUUCAACGCAGGCCACACGCGCGCUUGUAUACAUCAGCAUGGGAUAAUAGAAUAGGACUGGCACGGCCCUAUUUUGUUGGUUUCCAGGACCGCAGUA